CUUCUUGCUGCCUGGGCCCUACUUACAGAAGGGAUUUUGAUGUAUUGCUGAACCAAGAAUUCAGAUGAUGUGACUCUCCUGCCUGUGCGCUGUCUACAGUGGGCAUUGUGACAUAUCAUUGGUGAUGUGACUCUCCUGCCUUGUUCCUGCCCACAGGUGAAAUUGUGGCAUAUACCUGGGUCCAGAUCACAGGCACAAUGAUGACUCUCUUACCUGGACACAGCCAGUGGGAAAUAUUUUGACUUUUGUAGCCAGGCUUAGGGCCACAGGUGGUUUGGUGACUCUCAAACCAUGAUUCAGCAGACCUGUGAGGCUGUGAGUUCCCUAUCAGAACACAAUCUGCAGGUUGUAUUGUGCCAUAUACCUGGGACCAAAUUACAAGCACAAUGAUGAAUCUUUUACCUGGAGUCAAGACAUGGGCAGGAUGAUGGAACUUAUCACUGGACCUUUCCACAGUGUUAUUGUGACAUAUGCCUUUGCCCAACAUGUGGUGAUUUGACUCCCCAGACUGGGUCCAGUUCACAAAUAAAAUUGUGCCGUAUACUUGGCCAAGAACCUAA
rnacentral:lncRNA from 1 species